rnacentral:tRNA from 3 species
GCGGUUGUAGCUCAGUUGGUAGAGCCCCGGAUUGUGAUUCCGGUUGUCGCGGGUUCGAUCCCCGUCAAUCGCCCCA